AACGAACGCUGGCGGCAGGCCUAACACAUGCAAGUCGAGCGCACCUUCGGGUGAGCGGCGGACGGGUUAGUAACGCGUGGGAACGUGCCCUUCUCUACGGAAUAGCCAUUGGAAACGAUGAGUAAUACCGUAUACGCCUUCGGGAAGAUUAUCGGAGAAGGAUCGGCCGCGUUAGAUUAGAUAGUUGGUGGGGUAACGGCCUACCAAGUCUACGAUCUAUAGCUGGUUUUAGAGGAUGAUCAGCAACACUGGGACUGAGACACGGCCCAGACUCCUACGGGAGGCAGCAGUGGGGAAUCUUAGACAAUGGGCGCAAGCCUGAUCUAGCCAUGCCGCGUGUGUGAUGAAGGCCCUAGGGUCGUAAAGCACUUUCGCCAGGGAUGAUAAUGACAGUACCUGGUAAAGAAACCCCGGCUAACUCCGUGCCAGCGCCGCGGUAA
rnacentral:rRNA from 1 species